GCCCUGACUGGGAAUUGAACCAGUGACCCUUUGGUUUGCAGGCAGAAGCUCAAUCAGUGGACCUACACCAGCCAGGGCAGGAAUGAGAUUUCUGGGCCACAGAUUAGGAGUUCAAGCUGGGCAGACGGUGACCGAUGCCAUGGGACAACGCCCAGGGACAGAGUGUGCGGUAGAAGAGGAAGCCAGGCCACGGCUCGGGCAUGGUGGACAUUCAGAGGGAGCACAGAGGAAGAGGGUCCGCGAAGGAGGCAAAGAAGAUGGGAAAACUGCGGCACAGGCUUUGCCAGUCUUUCCCUGCGGCGGGCUGGCUCCCCAGUCCUCCCCUUUCCCGCCACACUCGGAACCCCUUAGAAGAGACAGUUAACAGAAAGGGCUUCACACAAGCCUGGCCCACAGCGACAGCUAAUUGCCAGAGGCCUCACUCAUGGAACUAGAGAAAGGAAGACCACCUGCCGCAGGCCCACGGUUCUCCUCGCUCCCACCCUUCCACCGGAGCAGAUCUCUCAGCUCUAUCCUCAAAAAUCCCAGUAAUGCGGUGCAAAUUAAGGUUACCUUAAAUAUCCUAAUCUUAUAACAAUUUUGCUUCAAUCAACAUCUAACUGUGACCACAUGUGCCCAGACCACCCAGCAGCCAGGUUGGUGGCUUGGGAGGAGGUGGCACAGGACUCCCUGGGGGAGAGGUCUGCGGGUCAUUGGGUCACUCUGCGUUCUCCUGGCCUGCCACACUGGGCUGCCCUUCCUCUUCCCCUCCCCCACCUUUUCUCAGGCAGCU